rfam:Thelohanellus kitauei scaffold00766, whole genome shotgun sequence.
GCCCGGCUAGCUCAGUCGGUAGAGCACAAGACUCUUAAUCUUGGGGUCGCGGGUUCGAGACCCGCGUCGGGCG